rnacentral:rRNA from 1 species
AGUGAACGCUGGCGGUAGGCCUAACACAUGCAAGUCGAACGGCAGCACAGUAAGAGCUUGCUCUUACGGGUGGCGAGUGGCGGACGGGUGAGGAAUACAUCGGAAUCUACUUUUUCGUGGGGGAUAACGUAGGGAAACUUACGCUAAUACCGCAUACGACCUACGGGUGAAAGCAGGGGAUCUUCGGACCUUGCGCGAUUGAAUGAGCCGAUGUCGGAUUAGCUAGUUGGCGGGGUAAAGGCCCACCAAGGCGACGAUCCGUAGCUGGUCUGAGAGGAUGAUAAGCCACACUGGAACUGAGACACGGUCCAGACUCCUACGGGAGGCAGCAGUGGGGAAUAUUGGACAAUGGGCGCAAGCCUGAUCCAGCCAUACCGCGUGGGUGAAGAAGGCCUUCGGGUUGUAAAGCCAUUUUGUUGGGAAAGAAAAGCAGCAGGUUAAUACCCCGCUGUUCUGACGGUACCCAAAGAAUAAGCACCGGCUAACUUCGU